ACGCCUGGAAAACGCUCUUCUGAGAUGAUCUGUGGAGGUCAACCCAGGAGAGAGAAGACAGGACUGAAGCACCGAAAGGGUCCUGCCGUAACGGAGCAGGAUUGUAUAGAAUAUAUAAUAGCAGUAGCAGCUCUGUUUACGGAGCAUUAACCUUACGUGGAGUUAUUUCCUGCAUUUCCUCCUUUCAUCUUUACAAGGUAGCCAUUUGGCGUUGGGAGAGAUUGGGUCUCUCCACAUUGCCUAGGCUGCUCUCCAACUUCUGAGCUCAAGUGAUCCACCUCCCUUGGCCUCCCAAAGUACUAGGAUUACAGGCGUGAGCCACCGUGCCUGGCUGAGAAGAUGGAUUUAAGACAUGUUUUGGAGGUAACAUCAUCAGGACUUCCUGAAGGAUUAGAUGUGGAAGGGAAGGAUAAGAAACAGACCAAGGAUAACUUUCAAAUGUAUGCUUAAGCAACUAGAUGGAUAAUGAUGCCACUGAGUGAGUGAAAAACUUGAUGGAAGUGGAAGAUUCAGAGUUCGUUUCUAUCUAGGUUAAUUUGAGACAUACCAGAGCAUAAGUCAAGUAAGUAAUUGAAUAUUGGAGUGGAGACUUAGUUGUCUACCGAAUUAUUAUUUUAUUUGUCGGACAUACAUCUACACUGCAUUCCUCAAAGUAAAAUUUAAGUGUGGCUCUGUGCCUAUGCUCUCCCCGGCGGAAAGUGAGCAGAAGAGGUGUGCAGUUUCCAGGCCUGGCCCAUACAGACCUCCAACAGGUGUUCCCCUGUGCUCUUACUCCUUCUGCCAACUGGAAGCAGAUGGUGACAGGCUCUGGAGAAGGCAAGGCCUGAAGAUGGGAGAUUCCUAAGUGGAGGAGAACUGUGCCUUACUGACCUAAAUAUCCACUCAGUAUUGUUAUGUGAGAAUAAAUAAACUUGUGUUGACCUUUUAC
rnacentral:lncRNA from 1 species